CUGAGGGGCAACUAAAAUUGACGGAGACUACAAUCUUUCUGGCCCGAAGAACGAGAACCAGGGGUAACCACAACUGCUGGAAAACUGUUUCUGAACUCGGCUUUGUUUCAUCAACAACUGCCCUCUGAGGAAGGGCAGCUUUGAAGCACAGAGAAAAGGUCCGGGCCUUCGCAGCUGGCCGCCAGGGAGGAAGCAGAGCAGGGUCCUCAGAGGAGCUGAUUUCACGGACAGAAGAUGAGUUUGCUACUUAGUUAGCCAAAUAUUUCUAAGGUUCUUGAGGUCACCCUGACCUCUGACAGGGAUCUACUUCCAGCUACUGUCUUCCUCUGACUCUGGAACGCCUACUGGCUUGGAUCAGAAUCUGAAUCUGCAUGUAUCCUGGGUCCCCAAAAUAGCAAGAUGACCCUGCCCCUUUCUGGAGAUUAGUGGCGUCACUACGAGCAGGCACCAGCCCCGUGAGGCUCGCCCCGUUGUCCCUGCUGCAGCAGCCCCGGGAGGCCGCGGUUACCCACGCCUGACGGAGGAAAUAACUUGCCCCGAGCACCACUGCAGUUGGCGGGGAAGCUGGAACCCAGAGCAGCACCGUCUGCUGCAGAAGCGGUGGCCUUACCGGGAUGCGACACGGCGUCUCCCGUGUGAUCUGUGGUGUAGAGGGGCCAGUGACACAGAAAGACUCCCAGAGGAGAGGAAGUGGAAAGAAGACUAACAAAGGAACGACCAGCCCCAUCUUCAUUCAGAGCGAGCAGGAGGACGCGGCCUCAUCUACCCCGAGAGCGAGCGACUGAGGGACCCCUGAGCCGUGUGUCCUCCCAGCCUACGUGGGUGAGCUGCUCUCCCCCUGGCCGCCCCACGUCUCAGGGAAUGCCCUGCCCUCUGGAAGCCUCUUAGCAGAGAUCUGAUUUGACCUUGCCUGCCUGGCCACCCCAGCCUUGCAGAAGGCCCUGUCUGUGAACUGGGGGCGUUAUUGAAUCAGCAGGGGCAAAGGAAUGAGAAAACCCUAUUAGCCUGUAACCCUGAGGCCUCCAACCGGAAAUUCUGCAGGUUCCUUCUGCUGUUGCUGCUCCUUGCCACUCCACUUCCCCCAUUGCCACUCCUGAGGUUUACACCCUAGUUCCACUGACCUAGGCCAGAUUAAACCUGAUUAAGAGCAUCGAGGGACAGAGAAGGGCUCAAAGCACCCCAGAAACAAUCCUGGUUUCGUGUUCCAACCCUUCCUUCUCGCAAGUAUCCAUACGGGGUGACCACAUACAGUUGGGCAGGCUGUAUACUGCACAACAUCACCGGGCAUAUAAAUCACAGUGGCCCCGGAUUCAUACUCUGUGUUUCCUCAACUACUCGGACGCUGGUGUCAAUUUACAACUCACCCUCAGAGGCCUGUCUGUCCACAUACAUCCCAAUCCUCUCAGGUGGUGACUCCCAGGAACACUAAGAAAAAGGACCUCAAAAUGAGAGGCCCAUAUUCUGCUUUCCAUAACUGGGAAAGUGGACGCCUUCUCCCGCCCUCUGUUCUCCCCCUGCCCCACCCCAGCAUUCAUACGUAGAUCCCUAAAGCCAGAGACUCUGCCCAGAGAUUCGUAGUGCUGGAUGUUUCUAGAAGAGGGACCACAGGUCUGAUUCGCCCAGGACAGUCACAGUUUAUGACUCUCGGACUGGUGGUGCCAACAGUUUUAGCACUGGUCCCACACAAAAGCGUCCCGGCUCAGAUAGGAAAUCAUAGUCACCCUACUGAGAAGCCACAAAUGAGCCAGCCCGGAGGGACUGGGGAACAGUGGCGUCAGCUUAUUGACCAGUAAUUACACGAACAAAUAGAGAAUCAUUUAACUGAGCAGCCACUCUGUGUACAUACACAUGUGUCUAUGUGCCUGUCACACGCGUGUGUGUAUAUAAACGGGUUUGAUGUAUGGAUGCAUAUCUAUAACGCACAUGUGCAUGUCCACACGCACACACAGCUACCACCUAUUGAGCGUUACACACUCCUCAACCUACCAGCCUCGGCAUUAGGAGCUCUACGGGCUCUGCAGCUUCCUGUAUGUACACUUUGUUUUUUUAAAAGAUUUUAUUUAUUUAUUCAUGAGAGACACACAGAGAGAAAGGCAGAGACACAGGCAGAGGGAGAAGCAGGCUCCAUGCAGGGAGCCCUAUGCGGGACUCGAUCUCUAGACCCUGGGGAUUACACCUGUGAGCCAAAAGAAGAUACCCAACCACUGAGCCACCCAGCCCCCCUGUAUAUACACUUUAAAACCAAGAUUUUAGGGGCACCUGGGGGUGGCUCAGAUUGUUAAACGUCUGCCUUCGGUUCACGUCAAGAU